rnacentral:rRNA from 1 species
UCCAGAGGUCCCAAGCGUUGUUCGGAUUUACUGGGCGUAAAGGGUGCGUAGGCGGUGGGGUAAGUUUGAGGUGAAAGCUCCGGGCUCAACCCGGAAAAUGCCUUGAAUACUAUCCGGCUAGAGGGUUGGAGGGGAGACUGGAAUUCUCGGUGUAGCAGUGAAAUGCGUAGAUCUCGAGAGGAACACCAGUGGCGAAGGCGGGUCUCUGGACAACACCUGACGCUGAGGCACGAAAGCCAGGGGAGCAAACGGG